rnacentral:rRNA from 1 species
GGGUUGUGAGGUUAAGCGACUAAGCGUACACGGUGGAUGCCCUGGCAGUCAGAGGCGAUGAAGGGCGUGCUAAUCUGCGAUAAGCGCCGGUAAGGUGAUAUGAACCGUUAUAACCGGCGAUACCCGAAUGGGGAAACCCAGUGUGAUUCGUCACACUAUCAUUAACUGAAUCCAUAGGUUAAUGAGGCGAACCGGGGGAACUGAAACAUCUAAGUACCCCGAGGAAAAGAAAUCAACCGAGAUUCCCCCAGUAGCGGCGAGCGAACGGGGAGGAGCCCAGAGCCUGAAUCAGCAUGUGUGUUAGUGGAAGCGUCUGGAAAGGCGCGCGAUACAGGGUGACAGCCCCGUACACAAAAGCGCAUGUGCUGUGAGCUCGAUGAGUAGGGCGGGACACGUGGUAUCCUGUCUGAAUAUGGGGGGACCAUCCUCCAAGGCUAAAUACUCCUGACUGACCGAUAGUGAACCAGUACCGUGAGGGAAAGGCGAAAAGAACCCCGGCGAGGGGAGUGAAAAAGAACCUGAAACCGUGUACGUACAAGCAGUGGGAGCNNGUGACUGCGUACCUUUUGUAUAAUGGGUCAGCGACUUAUAUUCUGUAGCAAGGUUAACCGUAUAGGGGAGCCGGAGGGAAACCGAGUCUUAAUUGGGCGUUAAGUUGCAGGGUAUAGACCCGAAACCCGGUGAUCUAGCCAUGGGCAGGUUGAAGGUUGGGUAACACUAACUGGAGGACCGAACCGACUAAUGUUGAAAAAUUAGCGGAUGACCUGUGGCUGGGGGUGAAAGGCCAAUCAAACCGGGAGAUAGCUGGUUCUCCCCGAAAGCUAUUUAGGUAGCGCCUCGUGAAUUCAUCUCCGGGGGUAGAGCACUGUUUCGGCUAGGGGGCCAUCCCGGCUUACCAACCCGAUGCAAACUGCGAAUACCGGAGAAUGUUAUCACGGGAGACACACGGCGGGUGCUAACGUCCGUCGUGAAGAGGGAAACAACCCAGACCGCCAGCUAAGGUCCCAAAGUCAUGGUUAAGUGGGAAACGAUGUGGGAAGGCCCAGACAGCCAGGAUGUUGGCUUAGAAGCAGCCAUCAUUUAAAGAAAGCGUAAUAGCUCACUGGUCGAGUCGGCCUGCGCGGAAGAUGUAACGGGGCUAAACCAUGCACCGAAGCUGCGGCAGCGAACGUAUCACCCAAGACAACUUUACGGAGUUGACGAUUGACGGAGCGAAGCGACGUCAAAGCGUUCAUUAAAGUCGAGUUGGCUUAGGGAUACGUUCGUUGGGUAGGGGAGCGUUCUGUAAGCCUGUGAAGGUGUGUCGUGAGGCAUGCUGGAGGUAUCAGAAGUGCGAAUGCUGACAUAAGUAACGAUAAAGCGGGUGAAAAGCCCGCUCGCCGGAAGACCAAGGGUUCCUGUCCAACGUUAAUCGGGGCAGGGUGAGUCGACCCCUAAGGCGAGGCCGAAAGGCGUAGUCGAUGGGAAACGGGUUAAUAUUCCCGUACUUGGUGUUACUGCGAAGGGGGGACGGAGAAGGCUAUGUUGGCCGGGCGACGGUUGUCCCGGUUUAAGCGUGUAGGUGUGUGUUCCAGGUAAAUCCGGUUCACUUUAACACUGAGGCGUGACGACGAGGCACUACGGUGCUGAAGCAACAAAUGCCCUGCUUCCAGGAAAAGCCUCUAAGCAUCAGGUAACACGAAAUCGUACCCCAAACCGACACAGGUGGUCAGGUAGAGAAUACCAAGGCGCUUGAGAGAACUCGGGUGAAGGAACUAGGCAAAAUGGUGCCGUAACUUCGGGAGAAGGCACGCUGACACGUAGGUGAAGUGAUUUACUCAUGGAGCUGAAGUCAGUCGAAGAUACCAGCUGGCUGCAACUGUUUAUUAAAAACACAGCACUGUGCAAACACGAAAGUGGACGUAUACGGUGUGACGCCUGCCCGGUGCCGGAAGGUUAAUUGAUGGGGUCAGCGUAAGCGAAGCUCCUGAUCGAAGCCCCGGUAAACGGCGGCCGUAACUAUAACGGUCCUAAGGUAGCGAAAUUCCUUGUCGGGUAAGUUCCGACCUGCACGAAUGGCGUAAUGAUGGCCAGGCUGUCUCCACCCGAGACUCAGUGAAAUUGAACUCGCUGUGAAGAUGCAGUGUACCCGCGGCAAGACGGAAAGACCCCGUGAACCUUUACUAUAGCUUGACACUGAACAUUGAGCCUUGAUGUGUAGGAUAGGUGGGAGGCUUUGAAGUGUGGACGCCAGUCUGCAUGGAGCCGACCUUGAAAUACCACCCUUUAAUGUUUGAUGUUCUAACGUGGACCCGUAAUCCGGGUUGCGGACAGUGUCUGGUGGGUAGUUUGACUGGGGCGGUCUCCUCCUAAAGAGUAACGGAGGAGCACGAAGGUUGGCUAAUCCUGGUCGGACAUCAGGAGGUUAGUGCAAUGGCAUAAGCCAGCUUGACUGCGAGCGUGACGGCGCGAGCAGGUGCGAAAGCAGGUCAUAGUGAUCCGGUGGUUCUGAAUGGAAGGGCCAUCGCUCAACGGAUAAAAGGUACUCCGGGGAUAACAGGCUGAUACCGCCCAAGAGUUCAUAUCGACGGCGGUGUUUGGCACCUCGAUGUCGGCUCAUCACAUCCUGGGGCUGAAGUAGGUCCCAAGGGUAUGGCUGUUCGCCAUUUAAAGUGGUACGCGAGCUGGGUUUAGAACGUCGUGAGACAGUUCGGUCCCUAUCUGCCGUGGGCGCUGGAGAACUGAGGGGGGCUGCUCCUAGUACGAGAGGACCGGAGUGGACGCAUCACUGGUGUUCGGGUUGUCAUGCCAAUGGCACUGCCCGGUAGCUAAAUGCGGAAGAGAUAAGUGCUGAAAGCAUCUAAGCACGAAACUUGCCCCGAGAUGAGUUCUCCCUGAGACUUAGAGUCUCCUGAAGGAACGUUGAAGACGACGACGUUGAUAGGCCGGGUGUGUAAGCGCAGCGAUGCGUUGAGCUAACCGGUACUAAUGAACCGUGAGGCUUAACCUUACAACGCCGAAG